UCUUUUUAAUAAUCAUAAUAUUUUAUUAGUAUAAAUGACAAAUAAAAUUUUUAUCUUAAGGGUUAAAUUAAAAAAGGGCUUAACAUAUACUAAUAAGAUAUUUUUUAAUUUUUUGUCCUAUCGAAUAACAUUAAAAUGUUAAAUUAUUCUCUCUUAUUACCCUUUAGAUAAUCACUCUUUUAAAAUUUACAGAAAUAACAGUUUACCUUGAACAUUGUAUCAAACGUUUCCUUAAUAAAUAAACAUUAAUUUUGUGUCUAUGUUGUGGUUGCAGGUCCAAUGGCUUUUGCUGAAA
rnacentral:misc_RNA from 1 species